CCGUUCGUACUACGUUAAGUAAUAAUUAACAGACUGCCUAGUUCGUCGCAGAUUUCUCUAAUAAAAUGUGAAUGCGAAUAACAUUUUAUCCUUUUGGUUGUAUCUUAAUUUGUGAAAUAUAGUCGUUGGAAUAAUGAAAUAUAGAAUAAGCAAGGACUUUCGCUCGGUAAGUACUAGAACUAUCACGGUUUAAUGAAAUAACGAUGCUAGUUGAGAGGAUUAUGGGCUGCGAGAAUUGGAACUGAAAUCCAUUGUUACCUGCAUAAUUAAGACAUAAUAAUGAUCAAUGGCGGGCUGUUUUUCUCCGAAGUGUGCAUCAACGGUUCACCUAGUGGUGUUUCGUUGUGAGUGACUCCCAAUAAAUAACAUCAAAACAUUUGCGUCAUCGUGCUCGUGUAUAAGAAUCGUGUAUAAGUUCAGUAUUUUAUUUUGUAAAUCAAUGACGUCAGUAUUAAGUUAUCAACAUUGGCGAACAUCGUCCCGUUUAUUAUAAUAAUAUAUGCACAUUUUAAGUUCUUCGCUAAUUUAAUAUUUUAUUGCGAAUAAUUAUAACGUACCCGGAAUAGUAUUUUUUUAACAAUCGAAUGAGUUAUUCAGUGCGAAUGAUAUUUGCGAUAGCCUCGCUUGCCACGCCUACACUCCACGCAAAAACUGUUAGAUGCUAGGCGUUGGAGUGUGUGUACGAAGCAUUAAUUCACGAACUCUACAUUAUUCAAACAAUUAUCGUACUUUAUUUUUACGUGUGUAUGUAAAGUCGGCCACAGAAGUAACAAAUUCAAAACGUCAAAUCGCCUUCAUGUCGGCAUUGAGCUGUAUAAAAUUGUUCAAAUGAACUCUAUAUUUGAACACGUGCAUUUAAAUUAGCCUUGUACAUGAAAAAUACACAGACGUGAUACCAGAAUAUUUUUCACCACACAGUGUACUAUUUUAAUAAUAUUACAUUCACAUGUAUUUAAAUGCGUAGAAAAAACGAAACGCUCUGAAUGCGUCGACAAUAACUCUAUUUAAUUUCCAUACGGUGUAAAUUUAGAAGGGACAUUAGUUAUUGUUCCUUUUGUACGCCAUAAUGGUCUAUUUGAAUAAUUAAUCAUUCAGGAUUCUACAUACUCGCAUACAAGACACGUAACAAUUAAUGAUUUUGGAGAUACAGUGGUACGCCAAGUGACAAAUUAAGCUUGAUACAUACAUGAACAAAUGUAAGAUAGCUAGCAAUUUUAUUUAGCCACCGACUCCAAAAUUGGUAAUCAGCAUAUAUAGAUAAUGUUAAAUUAUUUUUUUGGUUUUUAGUGGUUUUUGAAGGCGGUUUUAUAGUUUGUUAAAAAGUUCUUAUUUUGAGGUCAGUUAUAAAAGUUUAACAGACAUCCUUUUAUAGUCUCAUGAACAUCGACUAAGGAUACUGUCCAUGUAGAGCAUCACUGCAUUGACGCACCUACGCGUGCUUGCAGAUUGCAUAUCGACAAGCUGCUACCUGAGCUUCGUCCAUGGAACGGCAACAUCUCAUUUUCCUAGCUGCAUGCUCGUUGCAAGCAUUCGGCAGACUGCAGCUUGACUGGUUUCACGGCAUUGCUCAAGCAUAUUGCACGCUGCAUAGACGUAAUUUACUUAUUAAAAUGGCAGCCUCGUCCUAUUUCGUUCAUAUUAUCGAACAAUAUCCUUGUUUAUACGAUAACAAAUUAGAAGAAUAUUUAAAAAAGACACCACGUAUAUGGCUUGUUGUGAGGUGGCACAGAAAACAAACACAUCCGUGAGUGAUUGUCAAAUGAAGCGGAAGAACAUAUGGAAUAGAUUUGCUCGGAGCCUAAAACCAACGCCAAGUGGUUCAUACACAAAACAAAAGCAAUUAUACUUUUUGCAUGAUGAGUUACAAUUUAUUGUAGGUUAUAUUGAAGCUUUUAUAUAUAAUAGUGAACCGGAUAAUGUAGUAACUGAUUCGUCCCUGGGCACUGAAGGAAUCAAAACAUUCUUUAAUUGACGAAAUACAAGCUCAUUCAUCAGAAAUGCUAUGUUCUAAACCAGUCUCAAACAAUUAUAAAAAAACUGAAAUUAUAAAAUUAGUAGAGGAGCGGGUCGAGCAUUAAUUGUCGAAAGGAUAAAUAAGAAAAAACCUAAAAAUGAGAGCCCAAGAAAAAUGUUUUAUUAAGUUUAUUGCCUUGUCAGAGGAACGAAUGCGCAAAUUUAUGUUGACGAUGUUAUUAUUACUUGAAGAAUUUCUAUAAUACAUAUUCCUAGUAUUAAAGUUUUUAUAAAACUGUUAAACUUGGAAUAUUUGUUAUCUUUAUAUUGUAAAUAUGUGUGUCCAUGUUAAGGUGUUUUAUUAAUAAAUAAUACAUUUUCUUCAUUUAUAUUCUAUUUUUAAUGGACUGACCUCAAAAUCACAAGUUCAAAAUUUUCUAUUUUGGUUCAUAAAUAUUGAACCUUCCAUUGAUGCCGCUCUUGCAGCAACAAACAAUUAUCAUUGAACGUUCUAUUUAUGAAUGAAGCUAAAAUAUUUCGUAGUUUACUAAUAUAACCGUAUGUUAUAAUUUAUUUUAAUUUUUAGAAUAACAUUUUCCCAAAAAAAUCUAUUGCGUAAUGCUCGACUUUUAGAAUUUAUCUAUAUUUGUAGCUUGAAAGAAAAUUAUAUGAGGAUAAAAGUAUAGAGUUGCGAUUCAAAAUAUAUCUGGUUUACUUAGCAUGCAACCUACAAAUUAAGCUGACGUUGUCAGAAGCUUUGAUAACUGUAAAAUGCCAUUUUACUUUGAAGCAAAAUGGCAAACUACUUUUACGCGUAUUUGCAUAACUUGAAAAGUGCCUGAGAAACCCAUUUGUGACAGUUAUUCGCCCUCUAUUCACGUAGAAAUAUGAAUGGAAGCUAUGAUUUAUAUUGCGUUUACUGUGAAUUUAAAAUCGGCAGGGUUGUAGUUUUUAUGAAUCGUUGUGGAAACUAAACGAAUGAUUUGAUUGAUGAAACUAUAUGAAACUGAAGUCUCAAGAUCAUGCCACAAGUAAAUCUGUGUAUACCAGCCAUUCUCAAUCCUUUGUUAAAAGGGCCACAAAAAAGUGUUAGGGAUUCCUUGGACCACAACGUAUAUUCAUGGACCUGGGGCCUAAAGUGAGCUGGUUCGUUAUUUCACAAGAAAUAACGAACCAGAAGGACAACCUUAAACACGACCAAUAUGUCACCACCAAAUAAGUUCAUUAUUAAAUUUCAAUAUAAUAUUUUAUCAGUCUUUAUCGUGCCAUUACCGUUGCAAUUGGUCUUAAACUGAGUCUGCUGUCUGACAGAAUAAGCAAUUAAAAACAAGUUAGUAUUUUUGUGACUGAUUUGAUCGUAAGUUUUAUGUUUUUAAUAAAGGAAUAUUGUUGAACCAUA
rnacentral:lncRNA from 1 species